AUGCAGUGAUGCUGAAAAUCUACCUAUUUUCUGAGAAACCAUAAAUGGUUUCUUUGAUUAUAGAACUUACCAAUGGAUCCUUCUGAGCU